GGCUGCCUGCCUGUCCCGUUAUAGACUAGUAUUUUGAUCCCCUUUACAGCCGAGGUCUGAAAUAGCCCCCCGACGGGUGCGGCAGCUGCCGCCGAGUUGGGGAAACUUGGGACUUGCAGUGGGUUGGGGAGGGGGCGCUUUGCUCUCUGCUCCGCGCUGAGGGCCCCGCCUUCGCUGCCCGAGCAGGCACCCUCGUGGAAGUCCGUGCCACCUGCGUGGGGGGCCAAGUGCCGGCUGCCGGAGGAGCACAGGCCGUCCCUGGACGCUGGGAAUGCCAAUCCAGACCAGAGAGGAAGCACGCAACCGGAGGGGUGGAAUCUGCUACCGGAACUGAAGAGAGGUGCUCACCCGUGGUCCAGCAGCUGAACUACAAGUGCCAUACCCUGGAUAAGGACUCUCAGGGGCUCUCAGCUCCCAGCUGGCCCAGUAAUGAAAACCCCAGCUCUGGCCAGUGCUGCCUGCAGCACCAGCAUCCCAUCUGGCACCAGUUCCUCUCCUGGCUGCUCGCCUCCGUAUCUAGCUCUCUGCUUAUGGCCUGGGAAAGUGGUGGAAGAUGGUCCAAGUACUUGGGCCCCAGCACCCAUGUGGGAGACCUGGAAGAAGCUCCUGGCUUUGGAUCGGCCCAGCUCUGGCUGUUCCAGCCAUUUGGGGGGUGAACCAGUGGAUGAAAGAUCUCUUUCCCUCUCCUCUCUGUCUGUAACUCUGCUUCUCAAAUAAAUAAAUAAAUAAAUCCCAGUUCUCUGCACAGACCCUCCCCCAGUUUCUCUGGGACGCCCCUGUAGGCUGGAGUUGGUUCCUGGGUGACCCCACUGCAGAUGGCACUGUUCUUGCUGACCCAAGCAACUUAAUUCAAUCAAGGUCGGAAGACCUGGGGACUGCUUCCACACAGCCCAUCACCAUGAUGGCAAGACCCCUGAUUUCACAGAGAGGAAGGGUGCAGUCAGUCCUCAGUGUGACUCCCAGGUAGGGCCCCCCACGGCCUGUAACAAAUGACCACAAAUUCGUGUACUCAGAACAAUGUCAGAUUGUCUUACAGUUCCAGACUCCGCAGUUUGAAACAAGUGCAGCAGGGUUAAAAUUCAAGGUCUAGGCAGGUCUGGUUGCUCCCAGAGGCUGCAGAGGAACA